rnacentral:rRNA from 3 species
UGGGGAAUAUUGGACAAUGGGCGAAAGCCUGAUCCAGCCAUGCCGCGUGAGUGAUGAAGGCCCUAGGGUUGUAAAGCUCUUUUGUGCGGGAAGAUAAUGACGGUACCGCAAGAAUAAGCCCCGGCUAACUUCGUGCCAGCAGCCGCGGUAAUACGAAGGGGGCUAGCGUUGCUCGGAAUCACUGGGCGUAAAGGGUGCGUAGGCGGGUCUUUAAGUCAGGGGUGAAAUCCUGGAGCUCAACUCCAGAACUGCCUUUGAUACUGAGGAUCUUGAGUUCGGGAGAGGUGAGUGGAACUGCGAGUGUAGAGGUGAAAUUCGUAGAUAUUCGCAAGAACACCAGUGGCGAAGGCGGCUCACUGGCCCGAUACUGACGCUGAGGCACGAAAGCGUGGGGAGCAAACAGG